rnacentral:rRNA from 1 species
AGCGAACGCUGGCGGCAGGCCUAACACAUGCAAGUCGAACGAACUCUUCGGAGUUAGUGGCGGACGGGUGAGUAACACGUGGGAACGUGCCUUUAGGUUCGGAAUAACUCAGGGAAACUUGUGCUAAUACCGAAUGUGCCCUUCGGGGGAAAGAUUUAUCGCCUUUAGAGCGGCCCGCGUCUGAUUAGCUUGUUGGUGGGGUAAUGGCCCACCAAGGCGACGAUCAGUAGCUGGUCUGAGAGGAUGACCCGCCACAUUGGGACUGAGACACGGCCCAAACUCCGACGGGAGGCAGCAGUGGGGAAUCUUGCGCAAUGGGCGAAAGCCUGACGCAGCCAUGCCGCGUGGAUGAUGAAGGUCUUAGGAUUGUAAAAUCCUUUCACCGGUGAAGAUAAUGACUGUAGCCGGAGAAGAAGCCCCGGCUAACUUCGUGCCAGCCGCCGCGGUAA